UGGGGUGUCGUCUAACGGUAGGACAACGGACUUUGAAUCCGUUUAUUGAGGUUCGAAUCCUUGCACCCCAG
rnacentral:tRNA from 1 species